CGCACCUUGCGCCCUUUGGUAUUCCGAAGGGCAUGCCUGUUUGAGUGUCAUUAAAUUCUCAAGCCUUUGCGUUUUCGCUAAGGAUUGGAUGUGGGGGUUGCUGGACUCGUUAGAGAUCAGCUCCUCUGAAAUGUAUUAGCAGAAACCGUUUGACUUUGAAUGCUAGGCUGUGAUAAUAUCUACAGCUUGGUAGUCUUGUCGGAAUACAAGUAGAAUCGGCUUGGAGGGUGCUUAACGGCUCCUGCUUUCUCUCUUUGCGGGGAGAUACUUGUCCGAUUUUUUUUUGUAGAAGGAUUCAGCUUCUAAUAGUCCUUGGACAAUUUAUUGACUUAUUUGACCUCAAAUCAGGUAGGACUACCCGCUGAACUUAA
rnacentral:misc_RNA from 1 species